rnacentral:lncRNA from 1 species
CACCGCAAGGCCUGCUGGGAUGGACGUCCCUUGGCAGAGUGCCCCCUAUGGGGCGAACAGGCCAGAUGGCUGCACUGGGUGCUGCAGUGAGCCCAGAGAGCACAGCAGAUCCAUUGGCGAUACUAACAGUGGCCGCUCAACUCACCCAGGGGCUGGAAUGGGACUUUCAAUGACACACACACGCACUCACACACGCACACACACACCUGGUCUAAAAGGAAGGAUGGGUCAGAGGAGGUCAGAAAACUUCUGGGGCGGAGAGAGAGUUGAAGUGGAGGUGAUUGGGGUUGCCCGACCCCCGGUUGGGGGAGGCCAGCCAAAGAACCUAGAAGGGAAGAAAGGAAAAGUUUUCCACUCUUACAGUUCAGGCCCUGAACAUGGGGCCCUCCACUGGCUGGAUAUUGCUCACUCCAGGACUACUGCAGCUGAGAGAUCGCCAGGACUUCUAAUAAAAGUCAGCAGACGGGCAUAAUUGGAAACAUUGGUCAUAUUACCAAAGCUUUGACUGGAAUGUCAUAUUUGAGAGAGAUCUACAUGGAAUCAGAUAUGGCCAGACAGCUUUAUGCAGCCAAUAAAGCUCCUCGGAAAAAGGGCUUGCAGGAUUCCAGUCAGCCUUACCAGAAGCUCUGAACGGGAUCUGUGGAACCUACAGAAGUAUAUGGACGGUUCCAGAAGUGUGGUUCUUAAACUCCCAGAAACUGUCUGCAAAAGUGGAAAUGCUCCAGGAAGAAUUGCAGUGAUUUAAAAAUAGACACUUGCCACAGUUUUCUUUCCAUAUUUCAGUGCAACUGACUGCAGAUUAUUUGAGUUCGAAUUCCGAAAUAUUCCAAGCCUGCAUUGAAAACAAACAAACAAAAAUCUAUGACUUCUGUAUGUUCAUUGCUAAUGUAUGGCUCCUGAAAAUCAGAAUUUCAUAUGUGUCUGUCACCAAAUUCAGAAAAAACAUUAGUGCUUGAUGCCUGAUGC